AAGCUUCAAGUUUAGAUGAUAUUUCUCUUCUAUCAACUCCAAAACGUUCGAGUACAGCACCGACUGUUUCUACUCCAGCUCCAGUACCUGUCAUUGAAUCCACAGAUGCCAUAGAAGCCAGGGCUGCCCUGAAACAGUUGCAGGAAAUCUUUGAGAACUAUAAAAAAGAAAAAAUAGACAGU